rnacentral:rRNA from 1 species
CGGAGGGUGAGUAAUGUCUGGGAAACUGCCCGAGGGAGGGGGAUAACUACUGGAAACGGUAGCUAAUACCGCAUAACGUCGCAAGACCAAAGAGGGGGACCUUCGGGCCUCUUGCCAUCGGAUGUGCCCAGAUGGGAUUAGCUAGUAGGUGGGGUAACGGCUCACCUAGGCGACGAUCCCUAGCUGGUCUGAGAGGAUGACCAGCCACACUGGAACUGAGACACGGUCCAG